AAAAAGAAACGAGACACAUUUAUGAACUGUAUCAACAACCGACAACUACUGAACAUCAGAUUCCGGACUUAGUGCAGGUGGAAACAAAUGCAGUAGGGUUAAAAAAAAACAACUAUAAGUACCAACCUCCACCCUUAUCUGAAACAAUAUUGUAAUAUUACAACAUAGAAUACACACUAUAAAAUAUUAAUUUAAAUGGCUCAACUCAAUCAGAAGACAUAUUAAUGCAAGUGAA
rnacentral:lncRNA from 1 species